GCGGAGGAAAAGAAACCACCAGGGAUUGCCUCAGUAGCGGCGAGUGAAGCGGCAAAAGCUCAAAUUUGAAAUCUGGCGUCUUUGGCGUCCGAGUUGUAAUUUGAAGAAGGUAUCUUUGGGCCCGGCUCUUGUCUAUGUUCCUUGGAACAGGACGUCACAGAGGGUGAGAAUCCCGUGCGAUGAGAUGACCCGGGUCUGUGUAAAGUUCCUUCGACGAGUCGAGUUGUUUGGGAAUGCAGCUCUAAGUGGGUGGUAAAUUCCAUCUAAAGCUAAAUAUUGGCGAGAGACCGAUAGCGAACAAGUACAGUGAUGGAAAGAUGAAAAGAACUUUGAAAAGAGAGUGAAAAAGUACGUGAAAUUGUUGAAAGGGAAGGGCUUGAGAUCAGACUUGGUAUUUUGCAUGUUGCUCUCUCGGGGGCGGCCGCUGCGGUUUACCGGGCCAGCAUCGGUUUGGAGCGGCAGGAUAAUGGCGGAGGAAUGUGGCACGGCUUCUGCUGUGUGUUAUAGCCUCUGACGAUACUGCCAGCCUAGACCGAGGACUGCGGUUUUUACCUAGGAUGUUGGCAUAAUGAUCUUAAGUCGCCCGUCUU
rnacentral:rRNA from 1 species